rnacentral:rRNA from 1 species
CUGGGCGUAAAGCGCACGCAGGCGGUCUGUCAAGUCGGAUGUGAAAUCCCCGGGCUCAACCUGGGAACUGCAUUCGAAACUGGCAGGCUUGAGUCUUGUAGAGGGGGGUAGAAUUCCAGGUGUAGCGGUGAAAUGCGUAGAGAUCUGGAGGAAUACCGGUGGCGAAGGCGGCCCCCUGGACAAAGACUGACGCUCAGGUGCGAAAGCGUGGGGAGCAAACAGGAUUAGAUACCCUGGUAGUCCACGCCGUAAACGAUGUCUACUUGGAGGUUGUGCCCUUGAGGCGUGGCUUCCGGAGCUAACGCGUUAAGUAGACCGCCUGGGGAGUACGGCCGCAAGGUUAAAACUCAAAUGAAUUGACGGGGGCCCGCACAAGCGGUGGAGCAUGUGGUUUAAUUCGAUGCAACGCGAAGAACCUUACCUGGUCUUGACAUCCACAGAACUUUCCAGAGAUG